UUUAUCGAUUUUUACCGAGUUGUAAUUUUGAUGAUCAUGAAUCACUACUCAUUGCAAGUAUCUUGUUAGGGUUUUUCCGCCCCUUUUUGUUUUUCAGCUCAUCGCAGGAGCUGAAAUUGGGUAUUUAAUUGAUUGCUUGUGAAGAAUCAAAGAUUGGAAGCUGCAAAAGAUAUGGAGCAUCGGAACAAUCAGCAUCCAGAAACAGGUCAAGGCUCUGGCCAGCAACAGCCCGAUCCUCCCGUACCUAAUCCCAUUGUCCCGAACGUCCCUCAGCCUAACCUACAGCCAGUUGUUCCUUUGAUUGCAGUAUAUCAAUAUAGUACUGCUGUCUUCUAUGGCACAGCUGACGGUGCACUAUUCGUCUAUUAUUAUCACCAUUAUCUUUAUUAUUCGUAUACGGUACUGCCAAAUGGAGGAGUAGUUUAUUGGCCUACAUUUCCUGCCCCUUUUCCGCCAAUAGUACACGUAAAUGAUCCAAAUAUCAGACAUCACGACCCUCCUCGUUUAGAAGCUGUGCCUGAAGAUGUAACAUUUUUUUUUAUCCCCCUUGCUCACCUCUUGUUUUCAAGAUAUAUCUGUUGGUCAUAAGUUAUGCUCUUGAGAUGGACUAAAUGAAGUUAUGGUGAUUGUUUCGACCCUUUCGUGUUGGCGGCCAUGUUUAGGAGGUCGUGGCUCCCGAGAUUCUUGGCCAUGAUGAAGAUGCGGAUGAGCUAGAUGUUCUGCGUUACUAUCCAGGUGGAAACUCUUAUGAGGAGCUUCUUGAAUUGGCAGAAACGAUAGGCAAUGUUAGCAUCGGAUUAUCGUCAGAGUUCAUUGAACGUAAUUUGAAUGUACGAACGUUUGAGUCGUUGCCAACUCGUGACAAAAAAUGGGUUAUAUGCUUGGACGAGUUCAAGGCCGGAGAUAUUAUCGGAACCUUCGAAUGCAACCAUGAAUAUCACAAGCACUGCAUAAAGAGGUGGUUGCGGGACCAUAAUACUUGCCCGUUGUGCAUGUCCCCGGCCCUGAGAGUCGGUUGACGUUGGCCGGAAUGUUAGAACCUCUUGCAGUUGAUCUCUUGGUUACUAUUCUAUAAUCAAGAGCAUUCAAUAUACUAGUAGUAUAUGAUAAAAAAUAAUGAUGAGAUGAUCUAUUUACUUAA